GGCUGCUCGAGCAACUCACUACCAGCUGCUGGAUCUCUCAACGGCCUCCUGCUGCAUGCUGGGAUACGAUGUGCGCGCUUUGACGUCGCAUUCCACCAGCAGAUGGAGGUAUUCAGUUUCAGUACAGGAAAUAACAGUUGAAAGAGAAGAUGCUGCAUCACUGGACCAGAUUGGAUAAAAGACAAUAUUGAGCCACUUGAGGGCCUUUCAAUUUGAGACACUGAAGAAUUAAUUUGUCAUCUUAUUAGCUGAGGUUGUCGUUGGCUUUAUGAGUUCUGCCAAUAAAGCAAUAAAGGGAAACCCAUUUCAGGAUUCUGUUGUAAUAAAUAAAGGCCAAUAAAUAAAAGCUUUUGGAAUAUAAUCAUGAUCCCUGAUAUGUGUAGAAAAGACAGGAAUCCUGCAUUCAUUUAUUUUUGUUAUGACUUUUGUCAUACCCAUCCCACAUGCAAAAUGUCCAGUUUCAACUCAGUAAUGCUGGGCGUGAUGCUGUGAGUGGGUGAACGUCUGAGUUAUGCCAAUUAUGGGGGCUGUUAUCAUGUUGAUACAGUAUUAGUUUGUUGUUUUCUCGUUUUCUUUGUAGUCCACCUAAUGACAAAAAUAAGAAUAAGUAACUUUGUUGCUUAGUCAGGUAUAUUUAUUUUGAAUUAAUUUAUAAAUAAUAAUGCAAAGAUACAAAGACAGAAGCCUUCACACAAGAAAAAUACAUCAGGUACAGUCCAAACAGAAGCGUAAUUCAUCUUUUAUAUAGCAAACAUUUACAGCCAACUUGGAUUCGUUUGGUCCGAUUUGACAAUUUAAAUAUAAAACACACAAUUUAAAGAACAAGAUUUGAACCGAGUAAUUUUUAAAGGGUUAGUUCAAAAAGUACCAACUUGCCAAGCUGUGCUGCAGAAUGCUAGAUUUUGCAUAUUCUAUGAGCUUAAUGUUUCCUGUUGCUGCGAGCAUACUUUGGGAGCGUAGUGCACUCCUUCACGGCAGUAAAAUGCAUGUGCAGUGGUUGGAAUAGUAUCACUGUUCUCAGAAACAAAAAAACAUUAUAUAACAAUUUAGCUGCCAUUGUAUGAGGCUGAAACCAGCAGCGGGCUGUCCUCAAAAUGCACACAAAGGAUUCAUGGAGUGAGUGACUUUGCACAACUAUUACUCGGUUUCAUCUUUCUGAUUCAGUUUGUGUUGUAACAUGUCUCUCUCUCGCUCUCUCUCUCUCUCUCUGACUGCACAAUAUUUGCUUCUGAUUUUUCUUAUUUCAAGGUAUUUUUUGAGAUAUUUUGUAAUUCAGCAUCACGCAGGAAAGCGAUUCCUGGGUAGGUAUGUCGGUCGCAUCUCUUUAAGUUAUGAUGGAAUAAUUUAUUCAAUAAUGUUCAAUGUAAUCAAUGUAUUCAUACGUUCAUAGUUGAUAUAUGAAAGAACUCGUACCCCAGUACAAUAUUUUGAAAAACAUGGGAAAGGUUUCUUCAACAGUUGGAGGAAUAAAAUGCUUAAAUAUUCUCUUAUUUAUGGCUGUUUUGUACUUUGGCUUUCUGAUUCAACUGUUAAUUAAUACUAAAAGACUAUACAGUGUGAAUGAUAGACUUACUAUAAAACUAAAUUUAAUAAAAUCUAAAUAUUACCGUCAAUAGUUCUGUUAAAAAACGUGUUAACUUCUAAUGGCAUGUGGCUGCUCAUAGAAAAGUAGAUAGUAAGUGUAUUUUCUAAGACAUAAAAGUCUGUAAUCGAAAUAAAAGUUUUUUUCAGGGCCUGAAAUGCUUGUGAACAAAGACCAAAGAAAAUAUAACGAAUUAACGUAAUGAAAUAUAUUAUUUAGGGCAUAGUAUUGGAAUUACAUUACUGAUUCACUGGUGAAUCUAAAUAGCAAAGUAAGUUUGCUAUUCUACACUGCAAGUUGUUCCAAUUCCACAAUCACAACAAAAACAUUUUAUGGAGCGUAAACAAACAUUGCUCUGUCGUAAACUCUUGUCUCUGUAAACACUGGUAUAAUAGCAAUGAAUGCCUUAUCAUUGAUGCAUAAAGAGGUGGCAGUAACAGGCGACACAUCAGAGCUAUCUACAUGAGCACAAAAAAAGAUCAAAACAGAAAACGGACCUACAAAGAUUUCAGGCUCUCUUUAAAGUCUGAGGUCCAGCAGAAAAUAUCGAGCCACAUGACAUGUUACAGCGCAGUAUUUCUCAGUGCAUUUUCUCACUUUGACAUCAUAUCACAUAAAGCACGAAUAACAUUAUUCCUACCAUACAGCAAUAUACAAAGCUAGUCUAGAUUUACCAUGACAUAAUUUACCUCUGUUGGUGCUGCACAGAAAAUAAGCACAUACAGUAUUAUGCAGUGUAAAACCAAUCAAAAGCUCCUACAUGUGCAUAAAAGGCUGAUAACCAUUUUUCCGAUGCUUUUAGGCUUCACUUAGCAGAUACAUUAGUCCACACAUGACGCUGAACAAAGGACAUUACCGAACAAGAAACUCAAAACGCUGACAAAGUCCACUCCACCCUUGAAAGAAAAUAAAACCCAAGCCGUAGAGGGAGAAACGUGUAGAUGUCCAUGCCGUCACAAAAUUAUGAAGAAAAGAAAAGAUACAAAAUUAAGAAAUGUGAUUUAUUUUAAAAAAAAUAGGGAAAAUCUUUAAGCUCAACAAUUUAGUUUUAACAUUUUUGCUGACUGACAUUUUUAAAGUUACAUUAUGUGAGAAUAAUGGUGGGAUACGCUGGCACUAGAGGACCUUGGCACACAUCAACAAAGACAAUGUUCCAGUUACAGAAUUCCCUUUUUUAGUGUAAAAUAUUCAUGAAUUUUAGAAAUAACUAUAUUUGCACGAUAUUGUGAUAACACGCACGUUUCAAAUGUACUCAUGUGAGAAUCCCACUUGACUGUCCUUGCAUUUUUUUAUUAAUACACUUUUCAUCUGCAAAUAAUGCAUUAAUUACACACGUUUUUCUAUAUCUAUUUCCUCCAACCUGCUGUCAGUAGCAGAAAGAGCAGCAGCGACGUGAUUGACACUCCUUUGAUAACCACCGUUCCAAAAUACAAAUGUUUCCCAAAAUCCAGAAAAACUGUAACCGUGGACUACUAACAAAAUACGGACUGAUUAGGUAGAAACUCUUUUUCAAAUCUGUAUAUUUUCAAAAAUAACUAUAAGUUAAUUGAGCUUUUUUAAAUAUAUUUCUUUUUUUCUUUUUUCUUUUUUACAAGAAGGCAAGUUUAAUCAAAGACAGGGCAAACAGGUCCAGUGCACAUAACAGUCACAGGGGGGUUUGGUACGUAUACUCUCGUAAAUCAGUGUUUUAAAUAAAUAUAUUAAGUGCAAUAUGAGGGAUGAGACAGUUAUGAUCCACUCCCAAACACAGUGGACUUUUUAAAGAGCAAAUGCUUAAACCAAAUAAAUGCAGAACCAA